UAGGGAAUAUUGCACAAUGGGGGAAACCCUGAUGCAGCCAUGCCGCGUGUGUGAAGAAGGUCUUCGGAUUGUAAAGCACUUUCAGUGGGGAGGAAAAACUGACGUUACCCACAGAAGAAGCACCGGCUAACUCCGUGCCAGCAGCCGCGGUAAUACGGAGGGUGCAAGCGUUAAGCGGAAUAACUGGGCGUAAAGGGCAUGUAGGCGGAAAAGCAAGUAAGAUGUGAAAUACCUGGGCUUAACCUAGGUUGGUCAUUUUAAACUACUUUUCUAGAGUAUCGCAGAGGGAGAUGGAAUUUCAGGUGUAGCGGUGGAAUGCGUAGAUAUCUGAAAGAACACCAGUGGCGAAGGCGAUCUUCUGGGCGAAUACUGACGCUGAGGUGCGAAAGCGUGGGGAGCAAAUAUG
rnacentral:rRNA from 1 species